CUGAAAGGCGUCGCAGAGCUGGGAGUGACCAAGCGAAGAAAAAGAAGGACAAAGACAAAGCGAAACUCCUGGAAGCAAUGGGAACGAGCAAAAAGAACGAGGAGGAGAAGCGGCGCGGCCUGGACAAGCGGACCCCGGCCCAGGCGGCCUUCGAGAAAAUGCAGGAGAAGCGGGGCCAUCAGACUUCCUGCACAGCAACUGGCUUCCAAGGGCACAAAGCUAAUGCUGCCAGGUCUUAUGCAUGGACCCAGAACUGCAAAUGGAAAGGAUCCUAAAGAAGGCAUCCAAAACCCACAAGCAGAGAGUGGAGGACUUCAACAGACACCUGGACACACUCACGGAGCAUUACGACAUUCCCAAAGUCAGCUGGACGAAGUAGCCGCCUGCCCCCAGUAUGGAGCAGCAUCGAGGGUUCGCAAAAGGCCACACUGGGGUUGUGUGUGUUUCCUUUGGUAUAUUCUGGAAACAUGGCUACACACACCCUUGCAUCUUCUGCUACAGACUGCUUUUCGAAGCUGUGUACCCUCAUUCUGGAACUUGAUUAAAGUAAGAUCGUCCUUGUACUCAGUUUAGGCUUCUUGGCAACAUACAGAAGAUACACCCUUUUCGUUUGGAUGGAAAGUUUCUAAGUUUAUCCAGAGGUAAAGCCCAUUGUGUGUCUGUGUCAUGUAAAAAUGUUUUCACCCGAGUUGCAUGUAACGCUCUGAGGCCAGCCAGCUGUCUUCUCCUGGAUGAGACAGACUCCAGAGGGUAAGGAGCUAGCGCCAUGGUGGCCUGCAGUAUGCAGAGCCCCGCAGGACCCAGCGUGGGCGCCCUUCCAAGCUUCCUCUAGCUUUGGGCCUAUGCUGUCCCCUGCAGGCCCUAGGGAAGCCACUUGCAACUAUGCGGCCUUCAGACUUCCUCCUCAGCCACCUGGCCACUGAGACAGCAUAGCCUGGGUAACGGAACAGCCACCUAAGGCAAGAAUGGAACGGACACACCUUGCUCCUUUCUGAGCCCGUUUCCCAAAACCCCCCUUCCAGGUGCUUCUAAUGGGUGUUGCCAUAGCAGACGCUGCUAAUGCAUCACAGCAUUCUUUGAAAUGGAACCAGACACAGCCUGCCUCUCAAUCCUCAGCUGGGGGCUCCUAGCAGCCUCUUGUAUUUACUCAGAGUUGACACAUCACACAGAUCCUGUUUGGCAUUCCUACCUUACGGACGUCUCAGGGGUGACAGGACCAGGGCAGAGCCCCGGUACAAACAGACAAGGCUGCAGUCAAAUGGGAGGGUCCAGGUGUCCGUGUUGGAGGGCUGGGAUCUUGUAGGGCCUGUGCGUCCUGGCUGAGGAUCAAACCACAUAUGUUAUUGGGAGAAACGAUUUCUGUUGACGUAGAUAUUGAAAGAAUAAUGAAGGCAGAAGAGAAAAACGAAGUGUGGAAUUUGGGGUUGUCCUGUGUAAAUUACACAAUAAAGCAAAAGUCAGUUAUUG
rnacentral:lncRNA from 10 species